GAGGAUAUAGCUCAAGUGGUAGAACGUAUGCUUAGCAUGCAGGAGGUCCUGGGUUCAAUCCCCAGUACCUCCU
rfam:Camelus ferus unplaced genomic scaffold scaffold394, whole genome shotgun sequence.